rnacentral:rRNA from 1 species
GCUGGAGGUAUCACGAGUGCGAAUGCUGACAUGAGUAACGAUAAAGGGAGUGAAAAACUCCCUCGCCGGAAGACCAAGGGUUUCUGUUCGACGCUAAUCGGAGCAGAGUGAGUCGGCCCCUAAGGCGAGGCCGAAAGGCGUAGUCGAUGGGAAACGGGUCAAUAUUCCCGUACCGGACAUGGUUGCGAUGGGGGGACGAAGAAGGCUAGGUGAGCCAGGCGUUGGUAGUCCUGGUGAAAGUGAGUAGGCCGAGAUCUUAGGAAAAUCCGGGAUCUUAAAGCCGAGACACGAGAUGAACUGACCACGGUCAGGAAGUCACUGAUGCCACGCUUCCAGGAAAAGCCUCUAAGCUUCAGAUCAUGUGCGACCGUACCCCAAACCGACACAGGUGGUCAGGGUGAGAAUCCCAAGGCGCUUGAGAGAACUCGGGUGAAGGAACUAGGCAAAAUGGUGCCGUAACUUCGGGAGAAGGCACGCCGGCGUAGGGUGAAGAGACUUGCUCUCCUAGCCCGAACCGGUCGAAGAUACCAGGUGGCUGCAACUGUUUAUUAAAAACACAGCACUCUGCUAACGCGCAAGCGGACGUAUAGGGUGUGACGCCUGCCCGGUGCCGGAAGGUUAAAUGAUGGUGUUAGCCGCAAGGCGAAGCUCUUGAUUGAAGCCCCGGUAAACGGCGGCCGUAACUAUAACGGUCCUAAGGUAGCGAAAUUCCUUGUCGGGUAAGUUCCGACCUGCACGAAUGGCGUAAUGAUGGCCACGCUGUCUCCACCCGAGACUCAGUGAAAUUGAAAUCGCCGUGAAGAUGCGGUGUACCCGCGGCUAGACGGAAAGACCCCGUGAACCUUUACUAUAGCUUCACACUGGACGCUGAUGUUGCCUGUGUAGGAUAGCUGGGAGGCUUAGAAACUCGGACGCCAGUUCGGGUGGAGCCAACCUUGAAAUACCAGCCUGGCAUCAUUGGCGUUCUCACUCAGGUCCGUUAUCCGGAUCGAGGACAGUGUGUGGUGGGUAGUUUGACUGGGGCGGUCUCCUCCUAAAGAGUAACGGAGGAGCACGAAGGUACCCUCAGCACGGUCGGACAUCGUGCAAUGAGUGCAAGAGCAUAAGGGUGCUUGACUGCGAGACAGACACGUCGAGCAGGUGCGAAAGCAGGUUCUAGUGAUCCGGUGGUUCUGUAUGGAAGGGCCAUCGCUCAACGGAUAAAAGGUACUCCGGGGAUAACAGGCUGAUACCGCCCAAGAGUUCACAUCGACGGCGGUGUUUGGCACCUCGAUGUCGGCUCAUCACAUCCUGGGGCUGAAGUCGGUCCCAAGGGUAUGGCUGUUCGCCAUUUAAAGUGGUACGCGAGCUGGGUUUAGAACGUCGUGAGACAGUUCGGUCCCUAUCUGCCGUGGGCGUUGGAUGUUUGAGAAGGGCUGCUCCUAGUACGAGAGGACCGGAGUGGACGACCCUCUGGUGUUCCGGUUGUCACGCCAGUGGCAUUGCCGGGUAGCUAUGGUCGGACGGGAUAACCGCUGAAAGCAUCUAAGCGGGAAGCCCCCUUCAAGAUGAGACAUCCCUGAGGCCUAGAGCCUCCUGAAGGGCCCAGCGAGACCAGCUGGUUGAUAGGCACGGUGUGGAAGCGCUGCAAGGUGUUGAGCUAACGUGUACUAAUGGCCCGUGAGGCUUGACCCU